CUAUUUGCCCGGAAGACCCGUAACCGAACAGACUGACAGUGCCUGAGUCAGUCGGAUAGCAGGACCCCUCAACCUUUGUUUAAGGUUCAUCCCGGAUGCCCCGGAGAUGACCAGUGGAACCCCAACAACCCCCUGGAAUGUCCGACGUCCUGGCGCUCAACUACGGGCAAUGUUCCGGCCAAUCGCCAACACCGGCCGAAGUCCCGAUCCGUCAACACAUCGGGAAGAGCCCAGGAUAACCGGAUGGGUCCACGCAGCGCGCGACGAGAACCGCUACCAAGCACCAGGAUGCGAGACCGCGGCCGAAGCCGACGGUCGAACCCAGAUCGCUGGUGGAUGGAGCAGAGGUGACGACGCCGAGCUGGUGGGGCCCCAAGAAGCAGAAGAAAAGGUCAGAUAGAAUAAGAAAGUGGGACAGUUUUGAGGUUAGGAGAAGGAGGAAAGUUAGUAGGA